rnacentral:rRNA from 1 species
UGGGGAAUUUUGGACAAUGGGCGAAAGCCUGAUCCAGCAAUGCCGCGUGAGUGAAGAAGGCCUUCGGGUUGUAAAGCUCUUUUGUCAGGGAAGAAACGGUGAGAGCUAAUAUCUCUUGCUAAUGACGGUACCUGAAGAAUAAGCACCGGCUAACUACGUGC